UGAUCAUAAUUCGUAAACCAAUCAAAUGGUGCUGUCAAAGACUAUUUACAACUUGCCAUUUAUUUUGCAUGGUCAUAAAGCAUGUUUAUUGAGUAAAUUUUGGGUAGACUAGAAGAAAUAUCUAUUGUUUACAGCACUACUGUUUAUUUGGACUUAAUUGGAAGACAUUCAUAUGACACGUUAGUUUACAUAGAAAAGUGUAAAAGAAGGAUAAAAAAUUCAUACUACACAUGGAAUUUUAUAUGCUAGUGAACUAAGUGGAUUAAAUACAAAAGACAUUCAAAUGGAUUUAUAAACACUUUUAAGCAGUAUGUAGCCAAACAGAGGAAAGACAAUGAAGUUGAUAUUGUAACUGUA